rnacentral:lncRNA from 1 species
CAUUAUCCAUCCAGAUCUGGUUCAGGAACAAAUAUGCAAAACAAAAAGGAGCAGCCAGAAAUGCACAGACAUCCUGCAGCUGGCAUUGGGUAUGACACAACCUGAGGCUACUUAUCUAUCACUGCCUCUGCUGAAGCUGGAAUACUGGAGCUGGGCCUGACAUUUGGUUGUGGAUCUCUGCAUCUGGUUCAGCCAAUUACUCCAUGAAAGAUCUAUGUUGACAGUUGGCAUAUUCAUCAAUCUGAAUAACAGGGUUUUUGUUUCAGAGUUUCAAGACUUGGUAUCUCUGUAUGGCUAUGGAGCCUGUCCUGGAAGUUGUUCGGUAGACCAAGCUGGCCUGGAUCUAAGUUCUUGCUGGGAUAAAGAGCGUGUGCUGCCACCACCCAGCUUUCUAUCAGGUUGAAUGUACCUGGAUUUAUGUUGAGGUCCUUGAUCCACUUGGACUUGAGCCCUGGAGAGUCUGGGAGAAUGAGAGCACAUGUAGAACCAUGGGCAACAAGGCUUCCUUGAGAACCUGAGGACACCUGAAGACCUGCUUCCAUUAACUGCUUCCUGGUGCUUGGAGAGCCAGUUAAUGUGGGAGAGCUGGAUGCAUUACAAGACUUAGCUCCACUGGUUUCGUGGAUGUGCAACAGGACAUAGGUUCCUUGUAGUGCCUCGUUGCACUUGGAGGCUUGGUUGCACUGGGACCUGUGGAGUACUAUGGGAUCUGGGUUCCUGAGUGGCUCUUGAGGAAUUUUAAAACAUGGAGCCUAGCAGUGUGAAGGAACCAUACUCAGAAGUUAGAAGUUCUUGGUCCUCUCUCCUUCCCCUGGUGCUCUAUAUCUCUAACAAGGGAGGAAAGGCACCCUGGGUCAUGCUAGACCAAGUAACCCCACCUCAUCCUCACCAUCUACAUAGGAGAUUUAGUGGCCAAAUCACUCUGGAUAUCAGCAGGCUCUCCCAACUUUCCCAGUACACUGUUUGUAACUGAAGCUUUACUUCAAGAAUGUGGCUUCAAAUGACUUCUCCAUCUAGGAUCCUUUCAACUCCUUUCUUUGGGAGGGUGUUCAAGAUGGGUUUCACAUUAUAAUUUUUCCUGCUGUCAUGGUAUUUGUUUCAUAGAUUCAGAUGGUCACAAAUACACAGAGAUCCACCUGGCCUUGCCUUUUAUACCCUCUGUGCUAGAUAUUUUUAUAUCAAGUUGACACCAAGUGAGGGGCAUAUACUUAGUGAUUGAGAGAG